CCGUUUUCAAUAACCUAUCUAUCCCUAGUUUCGGUUACUAAAGAUAGACAAAUCUAUAUUUUUGUCCUUACUUACGUUCCAAUAACCUAUCGACGGGCAGCAGUUCCUAUCGGAUUUAUCUAUCCAUCGUCGGGAGGACGGAUAGCCUGCUAAAGAUAGAACGCUCAUACAAAUCGUGCUUACUUCCGUUUCAAUAUGAGUUUUAAGUAACUCUCCGGUAGGCGGCGCUAUCUCUAGUAUGGGCAUUCGCUUAUCUGUCAAAAUCGGCCGGUUACAUGUUUAUCUUUCGAAAGUAAAUCGCUAUAAUUUAAUAAUUGUUUCUCUUCAUAUUGGCAUAUUGUAGCAGUGAUGAUAGUGAUAUGGAAUUAUUACAAAUGAUAAUGGAUUGUGAUGCAGAUAGUGAUAGUGAGGCCGAUAUCAUAUGGUUAGGAAAAUAAAGAUCGUCUGAAUUACAUGGCGAAGAUCAAUAAUUACGAAUUUGACUGUAGAUUUCUGAGCAAAGGUGUUGUGAAUGAAUUGAUUAAUUUAAUGAGACCAUAUUUGAGUGUAACGUCAAAAGGGUAAGAUAAAUUUUAACCAUAAAAGUACUCGUUAUUACAACUUAUAUUUGUUUAUAGCAAUAGCAAAAUUAUACCUAAUUUUUGUUGUGUUACAAAAUCACACUCAACAGGAAUUCUAUAAUACUGCUGGAUUCCCAUGGUGCCCUAAAUGACAUUCAUAUACUAAUACAAUAACCUGGUAGGCUAUUUACCUUCAUUCUUAUUACACACUGAUACCUCUACAUUUUAUAUUUGUGUUACAGAUUCAAAUAUAGGAGAGGAAUUUAGAAAUAGAAAAAGAGUAUUUUGAAUGUGUAAUUUGUGUGCAAUGCAUCAUUGAUGUUUCAAAAUGUUGUUGCUUGAUGGCCUGGGUCUACUCAUGAUACAACUAUAAUUAACCAUUCCGAUUGAAAAGAUGCAUUGGUGUUUGUAAAAGAAGACUCCCUGUAUUAUCAUUGAAAAGUAGAUUAAAACUAGAAAAUAUGCAAGCUGUUAUUAUAGCUGCCAUGCUGCAUAAUAUCGUCAGGAGUAUGAAUUUAGAAGAAUUAGAAUCAGAAAUUUCAGUCGCAGAUACAUUACAGGAAAAUAAUAUAAUUGUUCGUAACAAUUUUCCAGAACGUACAUCUGAAAUACAACUACUUAUAAAUAAUUGCUUCCAAAGAUAAUUUAUAAAAUAAACUCCAAUGAUAA